rnacentral:rRNA from 1 species
UACAGAGGGGGCAAGCGUUAUUCGGAAUUAUUGGGCGUAAAGGGCGCGUAGGCGGUUUCUUAAGUGAGAUGUGUAAUCCCCGGGCUUAACCUGGGAACUGCAUCUCAUACUGGGAGGCUAGAGUACUGGAGAGGGUGGUAGAAUUCCACGUGUAGCGGUGAAAUGCGUAGAGAUGUGGAGGAAUACCAGUGGCGAAGGCGGCCACCUGGACAGUAACUGACGCUGAGGCGCGAAAGUGUGGGGAGCAAACAGG